AUACGUGUGGUGAAAUGGUAUCAUGCUUGCCUUCCAAGCAAGCGGCUCGAGUUCGAUUCCCGGCGUGUGUA
rnacentral:tRNA from 1 species